rnacentral:misc_RNA from 1 species
GAUGAAGAACGUAGCGAAAUGCGAUACGUAGUGUGAAUUGCAGAAUUCAGUGAAUCAUCGAAUCUUUGAACGCACAUUGCGCCCCUUGGUAUUCCAUGGGGCAUGCCUGUUCGAGCGUCAUUUGUACCUUCAAGCUUUGCUUGGUGUUGGGUGUUUGUCUCGCCUCCGCGUGUAGACUCGCCUCAAAACAAUUGGCAGCCGGCGUAUUGAUUUCGGAGCGCAGUACAUCUCGCGCUUUGCACUCACAACGACGACGUCCAAAAGUACAUUUUUACACUCUUGACCUCGGAUCAGGUAGGGAUACCCGCUGAACUUAAGCAUAUCAAUAAGCGGAGGA